GACGAACGCUGGCGGCGUGCUUAACACAUGCAAGUCGAACGGAAAGGCCCUGCUUUUGUGGGGUGCUCGAGUGGCGAACGGGUGAGUAACACGUGAGUAACCUGCCCUUGCCUUUGGGAUAACUUCAGGAAACUGGGGCUAUUACCGGAUAGGAGCUCCUGCCGCAUGGUGGGGGUUGGAAAGUUUCGGCGGUGGGGGAUGGACUCGCGGCUUAUCAGCUUGUUGGUGGGGUAGUGGCUUACCAAGGCUUUGACGGGUAGCCGGCCUGCGUGGGUGACCGGCCACAUUGGGACUGAGAUGCGGCCCAGACUCCUACGGGAGGCAGCAGUGGGGAAUAUUGCACAAUGGGCGGAAGCCUGAUGCAGCAACGCCGCGUGCGGGAUGACGGCCUUCGGGUUGUAAACCGCUUUCGCCUGUGACGAAGCGUGAGUGACGGUAAUGGGUAAAGAAGCACCGGCUAACUACGUG
rnacentral:rRNA from 1 species